GGCAUCAUGUCUGGAGAGAUUUGGCCUCAGAAAUGCAGCUCAGCUUCUGAUCAGACUGAGAUGUGUGAGCAGGCCCUAGCCAGGCUAAAGGAGUGACUGAACACAGAUUACCUCCUCCUGGUCCUCCCGCAGGCAAAGUACCACUGGCAAAAAGAGAAUGCACAAAAUUCCUUCACUGUACAGAGAUCUUUGUGUCUACAAAGGAAAAAUUAAAACAGAAGUUAAACCUUCUUGCCUCUAUGGACUUCAGAAGUUACUUUUUGUGUCAGUCUUGCAUAAGCUAAAGUGCUGGAAAGGAAUUUGAAAUGGUGGGUUUUACACGGUUCAGAGUUUUCCAAGUAUUAAUAUUUAUUUAAAGGAAAUUCAGUACCUAGCUGGAAUACCAAACCUGUUUAACAAUGCAAAACUGUGGCUUUGCACCCUGUUCUCUGGAGCAAACGAAGGCUUCCUACCAAAUGAAGCAGAAGCUGAUUUUCUUUUCAAACUCUGGA